CUCGUUUUUCUCCGUCAGUCUUGGCGGAAGCCUGAGACGCAGUAGAUGGAGACUCUCCCUUUCGCCUUGGCGUACUCCGUUUUUUUCCUUCCUGGAGCUGGUCUUGCGGGGCAGCCCUAAAAUGUAUAUCCAAGUGACUUGCUCUCAUCACUUGCUGUCUUGAGCUUACUUUCCUCGUUCGUAGAAUGGAGAUACCACACUUUCUGAAGUGCUUAUGAGACUUGCAGGAGGGAGGAAUCUCCCAGUGUUUGUGCCCCGUUUUGAUCUGAGUUAAAGCCGCAAACACAGCUGAAGCCUGGGCCAUCCACAGAAGACCCGGUGUUCUCUUUCUCCAGCUUUUUAGGAGCAGCCUUUCCAGCUUGCUUUUAGGAAUGAUAGCAUCAGCAAACACAGGAGAAAGAGGCUGGAUGGGCCAGCAGCUGUAAGACGCCAGGAUAUUGGAAGCUUCAGCUGCCCAUUGUUUUCAGAAGAGUAUGUGUUUCUCAUGGGCAAAGGAGAGAAUCCAGAGUGAGAAGCUGAAGAAAGUGGGAAGUCCUAGACUGGCGUGGUUUCAAAAGAAACACUGGGGUACACAUGAAAGGGGGAACAGGCAGACAUGAAGAAGAAAACAGCCCUGGAGUCCGGGUGCUGAUUGCCUUUUUUAUUCGCCUGAAAAGCCUCUCAGUGGAUUGAUUUGUGAUUUGGAUACCGCUUCUCCAGCUCGGGACUCUGAAGUCUGUGCUUGUCAUGCACUUCAGACAGUCAGCAGCCUGCUCAUAGGUUUUUCAUCCACUGAAGUUCUCACCCUCACCUGUCUGCUGCUCAACUUUAUUUUAUUUAUUUAUUUAUUUAUUUUAUUUAUUUAUUUUUUUUUUU